AUUUGCCAUAAAAACUCUAUUUAAAUCACAACAUAUGAAGCAUGCGGAUGGAGAUUCAGAAUUAGUAUAAUCUGUUUUGAUCUUAAGGAGUUUGCAAUCAAGUGUUCCAGUCACUUAACGAAUUGAGAGGAGGCCCCUCUCUUAGGAAAUGAUGGAAACCAGAGACAUCCCUUAUAAAAGCCAGCACCACAUUAUUUUUUUUAGAUUUAAAGCUUCCAUUUCUUGGCAACAAGUUUACCUAUAUAUUGAAAUGUAACACGUUUCAUGUGCUGAGGUGAAACCGUGAAAGUGACUAUCUCAUGCAUGCUAGCACUAUUCUCAAUUCUUGAGAGGUGAACUCCAGGGAAUUUCCUUGGGUCAAUAUUGUUUUCUACAAAAGGGAAUUUGUAAUAUACGUGAUCUUGAGGAUCGGUGUCUAUGACUCUAUACAUUUACAGGCACAGAGGCUUUGAGUUCUCAAGCCUUUGGUUUUGAUGGAUUUUAUAGCUGUGUUCCCAGACAGUAUUGUACAUUGGAGGGAGGCGUUGAAUUAUGAAUAUAUAAUAAAUCUUCUGCACGUUUGAAGGAUAAA